rnacentral:rRNA from 1 species
AGCGAACGCUGGCGGCAGGCCUAACACAUGCAAGUCGGGCGCCCCGCAAGGGGAGCGGCAGACGGGAGAGUGACACGUGGGAACGUACCCUUUGGUUCGGAACAACCCAGGGAAACUUGGGCUAAUACCGGAUAAGCCCUUACGGGGAAAGAUUCAUCGCCGAAGGAUCGGCCCGCGUCUGAUUAGCUAGUUGGUGGGGUAACGGCCCACCAAGGCGACGAUCAGUAGCUGGUCUGAGAGGAUGAUCAGCCUCACUGGGACUGAGACACGGCCCAGACUCCUACGGGAGGCAGCAGUGGGGAAUAUUGGACAAUGGGCGCAAGCCUGAUCCAGCCAUGCCGCGUGGGUGAUGAAGGCCCUAGGGUUGUAAAGCCCUUUCGGCGGGGAAGAUAAUGACGGUACCCGCAGAAGAAGCCCCGGCUAACUUCGUGCCAGCCGCCGCCGUAAGAC